rnacentral:misc_RNA from 1 species
GAUGAAGAACGCAGCGAAAUGCGAUAAGUAAUGUGAAUUGCAGAAUUCAGUGAAUCAUCGAAUCUUUGAACGCACAUUGCGCCCGCCAGUAUUCUGGCGGGCAUGCCUGUUCGAGCAUCAUUUCAACCAUCAAGCCCCAGGCUUGUGUUGGGGACCUGCGGCUGCCGCAGGCCCUGAAAACCAGUGGCGGGCUCGCUGUCACACCGGGCGUAGUAGAUUUUAUCUCGCUCAGGGCGUGCUGCGGGUUCCGGCCGUUAAAAAGCCUUUUUUACCCAAGGUUGACCUCGGAUCAGGUAGGAAGACCCGCUGAACUUAAGCAUAUCAAUAAGCGGAGGA